rnacentral:rRNA from 1 species
ACGUAGGGUGCGAGCGUUAAUCGGAAUUACUGGGCGUAAAGCGUGCGCAGGCGGUUUUUUAAGAUAGGCGUGAAAUCCCCGGGCUCAACCUGGGAACUGCGCUUAUGACUGGAAGACUAGAGUAUGGCAGAGGGGGGUGGAAUUCCACGUGUAGCAGUGAAAUGCGUAGAGAUGUGGAGGAACACCGAUGGCGAAGGCAGCCCCCUGGGCCAAUACUGACGCUCAUGCACGAAAGCGUGGGGAGCAAACAGG